rnacentral:rRNA from 1 species
CCUACGGGAGGCAGCAGUAGGGAAUAUUGCUCAAUGGGGGAAACCCUGAAGCAGCAACGCCGCGUGUAGGAUGAAGGUUUUCGGAUUGUAAACUCCUUUUGUUAGAGAAGAUAAUGACGGUAUCUAACGAAUAAGCACCGGCUAACUCCGUCCCAGCAGCCGCGGUAAUACGGAGGGUGAAAGCGUUACUCGGAAUCACUGGGCGUAAAGAGCGCGUAGGCGGGAUAGUAAGUCAGAUGUGAAAUCCUAGGGCUUAACCAGAGAACUGCAUUUGAAACUGUUAUUCUUGAGUAUCGUAGAGGGAGGUGGAAUUCUAGGUGUAGGGGUAAAAUCCGUAGAGAUCAAGAGGAAUACUCAUGGCGAAGGCGACCCGCUAGACCAUAACUGACGCUCAUGUGCGAAAGCGUGGGGAGCAAACAGGAUUAGAUACCCGUGUAGUC